AAUGAACGCUGGCGGUGUGCCUAACACAUGCAAGUCGAGCGAACGCACGAGGAGCUUUCGCCUUUGCCGUUGGCGACGGGCGGGCGAGUAACACGUAGAUCACCUACUUCUUUUUCUGGGGUAAUUUCGGGAGACCGGAUCUACUACUACAUCAUAUAUCGUACGGGAGAGAUCAAUAGUGCUAGACGCUUUUGGUGUCAGUUAUAGCCGAUUCCGGGCCGCAUUAGCUAGUUGGUAAGGUAACGGCUUACCAAGGCAACGAUGCGUAGCUGACCUGAGAGGAUGAUCGGCCACACUGGAACUGAGACACGGUCCAGACUCCUACGGGAGGCAGCAGUAGGGAAUCUUCCACAAUGGGCGAAAGCCUGACGGAGCAACGCCGCGUGAGUGAUGAAGGUCUUCGGAUCGUAAAGCUCUGUUAUUAGGGAAGAACAAAUGUGUAUGUAACCAUGCACGUCUUGACGGUACCCAAUCAGAAAGCCACGGCUAACUACGUG
rnacentral:rRNA from 1 species